rnacentral:rRNA from 1 species
CCUACGGGGGGCAGCAGUAGGGAAUCUUCGGCAAUGGACGAAAGUCUGACCGAGCAACGCCGCGUGAGUGAAGAAGGUUUUCGGAUCGUAAAACUCUGUUGUUAGAGAAGAACAAGGACGUUAGUAACUGAACGUCCCCUGACGGUAUCUAACCAGAAAGCCACGGCUAACUACGUGCCAGCAGCCGCGGUAAUACGUAGGUGGCAAGCGUUGUCCGGAUUUAUUGGGCGUAAAGCGAGCGCAGGCGGUUUCUUAAGUCUGAUGUGAAAGCCCCCGGCUCAACCGGGGAGGGUCAUUGGAAACUGGGAGACUUGAGUGCAGAAGAGGAGAGUGGAAUUCCAUGUGUAGCGGUGAAAUGCGUAGAUAUAUGGAGGAACACCAGUGGCGAAGGCGGCUCUCUGGUCUGUAACUGACGCUGAGGCUCGAAAGCGUGGGGAGCAAACAGGAUUAGAUACCCGGGUAGUC